CAAAAACAUAGCUUGAGGUAUAUAUAUUAAGUGUUUUCUGCUCAAUGAAUUAUUAAAUAGCCCCAGUACCCUGACUGUGCAAAGGUAGCAUAAUCAAUUGACUUCUAAUUAAAGUCUGGAAUGAAAGAAUAAAUGAGGGGUUAACUAUAUAGUUGACUAAAUAUGAAGUUGCUUAUUGGGUGAAAAUUCCCGAAUUGAAAUAUUAGACGAGAAGACCCUAGAAAUUUCAUGAAAAUUUUGUUGGGGCAACAUUGUAGCAGUUAAUCUACACAAUAACUCGUGAAGUAUGACAGUUUGACUAAAUUACUCUAGGGAUAACAGCAUAAUACGAUAGUGUUUGUGACCUCGAUGUUGGAUUAGGAAUUUGUAGUUUAGAAAAUAAGCAGGGCGCUCUGUUCGAGCA
rnacentral:rRNA from 1 species